rnacentral:rRNA from 1 species
AGGGGGUAGGGUUACUUCGGUAUCUGAGACCGGCGCACGGGUGCGUAACGCGUAUGCAAUCUACCUUUUACUAUGGGAUAGCCCAGAGAAAUUUGGAUUAAUACCAUAUAGUAUAUUUGAAUGGCAUCGUUUGAAUAUUAAAGAUUUAUCGGUAAAAGAUGAGCAUGCGUCCCAUUAGUUAGUUGGUGUGGUAACGGCAUACCAAGACGAUGAUGGGUAGGGGUCCUGAGAGGGAGAUCCCCCACACUGGUACUGAGACACGGACCAGACUCCUACGGGAGGCAGCAGUAAGGAAUAUUGGUCAAUGGAGGCAACUCUGAACCAGCCAUGCCGCGUGCAGGAUGACGGUCCUAUGGAUUGUAAACUGCUUUUGUACGGGAAGAAAACAAACUACGAGUAGUUAAUUGACGGUACCGUAAGAAUAAGGAUCGGCUAACUCCGUGCCAGCAGCCGCGGUAAUACGGAGGAUCCAAGCGUUAUCCGGAAUCAUUGGGUUUAAAGGGUCCGUAGGCGGCCUUAUAAGUCAGUGGUGAAAGUUUUUGGCUUAACCAAAAAAUUGCCAUUGAUACUGUAGGGCUUGAAUAUCUGUGAAGUAACUAGAAUAUGUAGUGUAGCGGUGAAAUGCUUAGAUAUUACAUGGAAUACCGAUUGCGAAGGCAGGUUACUAACAGAUGAUUGACGCUGAUGGACGAAAGCGUGGGUAGCGAACAGGAUUAGAUACCCUGGUAGUCCACGCCGUAAACGAUGGAUACUAGCUGUUUGGUUUUCGGACUGAGUGGCUAAGCGAAAGUGAUAAGUAUCCCACCUGGGGAGUACGGUCGCAAGACUGAAACUCAAAGGAAUUGACGGGGGCCCGCACAAGCAGUGGGGCAUGUGGUUUAAUUCGAUGAUACGCGAGGAACCUUACCAGGGCUUAAAUGUAGAUUGACAGAUUUGGAAGCAGAUUUUUCUUCGGACAAUUUUACAAGGUGCUGCAUGGUUGUCGUCAGCUCGUGCCGUGAGGUGUCAGGUUAAGUCCUAUAACGAGCGCANCCCCUGUUGUUAGUUGCCAGCACGUAAUGGUGGGAACUCUAGCAAGACUGCCAGUGUAAACUGUGAGG